AAACAUAAUAUUCAUAGAAUGAUGAUUCAUACCUACAAAAAAAUAAAAUCACAUAUUUUACUAUAAUAAUAUUAAAUGUUUAUGAUGAUUAAAAGAAUCAAAAUGAACAUUAAAUAUCUAUAAGAUAUACUAAACAUAUGAAUAUUAGAGAUAUUAGUCAUGAACAUUGUAACACCCGUAAAUUUUUUUAAAAUUUUAAUUGCAUUAGUUUUCGGGGGCAGUUUGAUAAAUUAAUAUUUCUCGUGAAUAAACGAGUACUAUUUAAUUUAACAUUUUUAAAUAAUUAUAUAAUAUUGAUUUGUGAAUUUAAAUAAAUAAGUGUAAUUUUAUUAAGUUAAAUUGUUGUGACUAAUUAUCAUAUAAAUGUAAUGUAUUUUAAGUGGGGGUGUUUUUGUAGCUUAAUUAAGAUGGGGGACUAGAGCGAAAUUUAAAAAAAAAAAAAAAAAAGAAGAAGGAAAGAAUAUGCAUUGAGGCCUCUCACUCUCUCUCUCUCUCUCUCUCUCUCUCUCUCUUUUCCUCUCCUUCCUCCUUCCUUCCCCGCCACACAGCCCCAUCCUCAUCCUCAUUUUUGUCGUCCCUUACCACCAGCCACCGAUAAACGCCUCUAUCCUUCUUCCUUUUUAGCCGGCGCCGCUCACUUCCCUUCACUCUCACUAGAUUCCGCUGCAGCAAGGAGGAGAAGACGUCUCCCCGCUGCCACCACCGGUUCGACCUCCUCCUGACAUCCCUUCAUCAAUCUGAUGCUGGAAACGGGGUCCUAGACUCCAAAAAACCAAGGCAACCCUUCUUUCCUGUUUUUCUCCCCCCAACGGACUUUUUUUCUUUCUAGGUCAUGCAAAGGGGGGAUUCCGAGUCGGAUCCUAUUAAUGAGGGAACGCCAUUUGGUUAGGAGCAUUAUUUUGAGGGGUCUUUCUCAACCAAAGCAUGUUGAUUGCACGAGAUGCAGAUAAGUGAUCAAAGUGAGGCUUUACUUGACGAGUAUGAGGGAUUACUCAAAAUAGAGAAAGGCGGGUACAUAACUAAAGAAGUUGGUUAUGGCCUUUAUGAGGAAUUUUAAGAGAUGAAUUAGGUUCUCCUUCCUCUCCUGGUGUAUGAGCUUCACCGGAGCCAAAACUUUCUGGCCUCGAUCCAGUGGCUUCCGACGAGAUUUCAAUAGAAACAAUUGUAUAUUCAGACUCCUCACAACUCAAGCUUCACAUAACCCGUCGAUUCAGUUAGCUCCACCUAAGGCAUAGAAGCAGAGCAAGGGGGUCAUCAGAACUAUGAGUUAAAAUUAUAUAAUGUUUGCAUAUGUGCCAUGCCAAAUUUUAAUGCAACAUUUUUUGUUAAUAAUUAUUAUGAAUAUUAUUAGUAUUA